rnacentral:rRNA from 1 species
AGUGAACGCUGGCGGUAGGCCUAACACAUGCAAGUCGAACGGCAGCACAGUAAGAGCUUGCUCUUACGGGUGGCGAGUGGCGGACGGGUGAGGAAUACAUCGGAAUCUACUUUUUCGUGGGGGAUAACGUAGGGAAACUUACGCUAAUACCGCAUACGACCUACGGGUGAAAGCAGGGGAUCUUCGGACCUUUCGCGAUUGUAUGAGCCGAUGUCGGAUUAGCUCGUUGGCGGGGUAAAGGCCCACCAAGGCGACGAUCCGUAGCUGGUCUGAGAGGAUGAUCAGCCACACUGGAACUGAGACACGGUCCAGACUCCUACGGGAGGCAGCAGUGGGGAAUAUUGGACAAUGGGCGCAAGCCUGAUCCAGCCAUACCGCGUGGGUGAAGAAGGACUUCGGGUUGUAAAGCCCUUUUGUUGGGAAAGAAAAGCAGCAGGUUAAUACCCCGCUGUUCUGACGGUACCCAAAGAAUAAGCACCGGCUAACUUCGUG